UACGAAGGGGGCUAGCGUUGCUCGGAAUCACUGGGCGUAAAGCGCACGUAGGCGGACUCUUAAGUCGGUGGUGAAAUCCUGGAGCUCAACUCCAGAACUGCCUUCGAUACUGGGAGUCUCGAGUUCGGGAGAGGUGAGUGGAACUGCGAGUGUAGAGGUGAAAUUCGUAGAUAUUCGGAAGAACACCAGUGGCGAAGGCGACUUACUGGACGACUGUUGACGCUGAGGUGCGAAAGCGUGGGGAGCAAACAGG
rnacentral:rRNA from 1 species